AGCCAUGUGAUGAACACAAAGCGAACUAUUCUUUCGCCUUUUACUAAAGAAUACCGUGUGUUCGUUACAAUCAAUGGCAUACUCUAAUUUUUGAAGGGUGUUUAACAUUAAACACCC
rfam:Ipomoea nil DNA, scaffold: scaffold0268, cultivar: Tokyo-kokei standard.